GCAAGAUGGUUGGAAGGCUUGGUCUAGGAAUUUCAAGGAAAAAAGAUAAAUAAAAAUAUGAAGAUAAUGAAGAAGAAUGGUAGUGAUACUAGAAUUAGGAUCUCUUCUAUAUUUGAUGGAAGGAAUAUAAGGGUUAGGACUUUUUUUAGAUUUCUUAGGCAUGAAAAAGGAAUAGAAGAUGGCUAGAUUGUGGAGGCUUAAUUAGGGCUCAUGGGAGAUGAUCUU
rnacentral:lncRNA from 1 species